rnacentral:rRNA from 1 species
UGGGCGUUAAGUUGCAGGGUAUAGACCCGAAACCCGGUGAUCUAGCCAUGGGCAGGUUGAAGGUUGGGUAACACUAACUGGAGGACCGAACCGACUAAUGUUGAAAAAUUAGCGGAUGACCUGUGGCUGGGGGUGAAAGGCCAAUCAAACCGGGAGAUAGCUGGUUCUCCCCGAAAGCUAUUUAGGUAGCGCCUCGUGAAUUCAUCUCCGGGGGUAGAGCACUGUUUCGGCUAGGGGGCCAUCCCGGCUUACCAACCCGAUGCAAACUGCGAAUACCGGAGAAUGUUAUCACGGGAGACACACGGCGGGUGCUAACGUCCGUCGUGAAGAGGGAAACAACCCAGACCGCCAGCUAAGGUCCCAAAGUCAUGGUUAAGUGGGAAACGAUGUGGGAAGGCCCAGACAGCCAGGAUGUUGGCUUAGAAGCAGCCAUCAUUUAAAGAAAGCGUAAUAGCUCACUGGUCGAGUCGGCCUGCGCGGAAGAUGUAACGGGGCUAAACCAUGCACCGAAGCUGCGGCAGCGACGCUGAUGCGU